rnacentral:rRNA from 1 species
AUUGAACGCUGGCGGCACGCUUAACACAUGCAAGUCGAACGGCAGCGCGGGGCAACCUGGCGGCGAGUGGCGAACGGGUGAGUAACAUAUCGGAACAUACCCUAGAGUGGGGGAUAACGUAGCGAAAGUUACGCUAAUACCGCAUACGCACUAAGGUGGAAAGUGGGGGAUCUUCGGACCUCAUGCUCAUGGAGUGGCCGAUAUCUGAUUAGCUAGUUGGUGAGGUAAAGGCUCACCAAGGCGACGAUCAGUAGCUGGUUUGAGAGAACGACCAGCCACACUGGAACUGAGACACGGUCCAGACUCCUACGGGAGGCAGCAGUGGGGAAUUUUGGACAAUGGGGGCAACCCUGAUCCAGCAAUGCCGCGUGAGUGAAGAAGGCCUU